CGACCGGCGCACGGGUGCGUAACGCGUAUGCAACCUACCUUUUACAGGGGCAUAACACUGAGAAAUUGGUACUAAUUCCCCAUAAUAUCUGAGACGGCAUCGUUUUGGGUUGAAAACUCCGGUGGUGUAAGAUGGGCCCGCGUCUGAUUAGGUAGUUGGUGAGGUAACGGCUCACCAAGCCGACGAUCAGUAGCCGACCUGAGAGGGUGACCGGCCACAUUGGGACUGAGACACGGCCCAGACUCCUACGGGAGGCAGCAG
rnacentral:rRNA from 1 species